rnacentral:rRNA from 1 species
UAGGGAAUCUUCGGCAAUGGACGAAAGUCUGACCGAGCAACGCCGCGUGAGUGAAGAAGGUUUUCGGAUCGUAAAACUCUGUUGUUAGAGAAGAACAAGGACGUUAGUAACUGAACGUCCCCUGACGGAAUCUAACCAGAAAGCCACGGCUAACUACGUGCCAGCAGCCGCGGUAAUACGUAGGUGGCAAGCGUUGUCCGGAUUUAUUGGGCGUAAAGCGAGCGCAGGCGGUUUCUUAAGUCUGAUGUGAAAGCCCCCGGCUCAACCGGGGAGGGUCAUUGGAAACUGGGAGACUUGAGUGCAGAAGAGGAGAGUGGAAUUCCAUGUGUAGCGGUGAAAUGCGUAGAUAUAUGGAGGAACAACAGUGGCGAAGGCGGCUCUCUGGUCUGUAACUGACGCUGAGGCUCGAAAGCGUGGGGAGCAAACAGG